GAUGAACGCUGGCGGCGUGCCUAAUACAUGCAAGUCGAACGAAACUUCUUUAUCACCGAGUGCUUGCACUCACCGAUAAAGAGUUGAGUGGCGAACGGGUGAGUAACACGUGGGCAACCUGCCCAAAAGAGGGGGAUAACACUUGGAAACAGGUGCUAAUACCGCAUAACCAUAGUUACCGCAUGGUAACUAUGUAAAAGGUGGCUAUACUACCGCUUUUGGAUGGGCCCGCGGCGCAUUAGCUAGUUGGUAGGGUAAAGGCUUACCAAGGCAAUGAUGCGUAGCCGAAUUGAGAGGUUGAUCGGCCACAUUGGGACUGAGACACGGCCCAAACUCCUACGGGAGGCAGCAGUAGGGAAUCUUCCACAAUGGGCGAAAGCCUGAUGGAGCAACGCCGCGUGGGUGAAGAAGGUCUUCGGAUCGUAAAACCCUGUUGUUAGAGAAGAAAGUGCGUGAGAGUAACUGUUCACGUAUCGACGGUAUCUAACCAGAAAGCCACGGCUAACUACGUG
rnacentral:rRNA from 1 species